rnacentral:rRNA from 1 species
CCUACGGGGAGCAGCAGUGGGGAAUAUUGCACAAUGGGGGAAACCCUGAUGCAGCGACGCCGCGUGAGUGAAGAAGUAUUUCGGUAUGUAAAGCUCUAUCAGCAGGGAAGAGAAUGACGGUACCUGAGUAAGAAGCACCGGCUAACUACGUCCCAGCAGCCGCGGUAAUACGUAGGGGGCAAGCGUUAGCCGGAUUUACUGGUUGAAAGGGGAGCGUAGACGGCGAAGAAAGUCUGAAGGGACAGCCCGCGGCUAAACCGCGAAACUGCUUUGGAAACUUUUUUUGUGGGGUACCGGAGAGGUAAGCGGAAUUCCUAGUGUAGCGGUGAAAUGCGUAGAUAUUAGGAGGAACACCAGUGGCGAAGGCGGCUUACUGGACGGUAACUGACGUUGAGGCUCGAAAGCGUGGGGAGCAAACAGGAUUAGAUACCCCAGUAGU